AAUUUAAAUAAUCAUUGAGACAGAAUAUAUGGAUGAGAGACUGACCUGGUAGAUAUGGCACUCAGCUAGAAGUCAAUGCCAUGGUUUUGUACAGGCUUAUGUGUUGUGUGUGCAGAAUCCUCCCAAAAACAGAGAUGAGAGAAGAAUUCUGUUUUGGCUGCUUAUUCUGUACCUUGACUGAGGAGAGGAAGAAGAAAGAAAAAGUGCAUGGCUGACUCCCCAGAUAAAAGAUUCCCCAGUGGCCACAACAGCUACUACCAAUACAAAAGGAACAAAUCUUUUCUGCAACUUAACGAGGCCAAGGAUAAGAUACGGAAACAUGUGAGAAGUUUGCAAAUUGCACAGUUGUCAUGUGUAGUGUUACAUGCCUUAAAACAAAGAAGGCUAAUGCUGACUAAAUUGUACCACAGAUCAGUGUGUUGAAGAGUCAAUAAUAGAUUCUAUGAGC